CCCUUAGAUGUCCUGGGCCGCACGCGUGCUACACUGACACUUACACCGAGUUUUUCCGGCCCCGAGAGGUGGCUGGUAAUCAGUAAUAGGUGUCGUGAUGGGGAUAGAUCUUUGGAAUUAUUGAUCUUGAACGAGGAAUGCCUAGUAAUCGUAGGUCAUCAGCCUGCGAUGAUUACGUCCCUGCCCUUUGUACACACCGCCCGUCGCUCCUACCGAUUUCGAGUGGUCCGGUGAACCUUUCGGACAGAGAGAGUCUCGUACAAUCUCUGAAAGUCAAGUAAACCACNUNACUUAGNGGAAGGAGAANUCGUANCA
rnacentral:rRNA from 1 species